rnacentral:misc_RNA from 1 species
GAAGAAUCGGGAAAGAGGAAGAAAGGGGGAGAAAGGAAAAGAAAUAAAGAAAGGAAGAAGAGAAGGAAAGAGGGAGAAAAAAUUGCUGGAUUUUUUCGAGUUUCUCUAGUAAGAAAGAACCUUAACAAAGGGAAAAGAAGGAUUAUGGUCUGGGAUAUAAGAAAUUAAAAAGAGAAAUGGAGAAGAAGAUGAACAGUGACAAAAGUAGGACUCUGCAGGGGCAGUAGUUCUCCCAUCCUUCCAGGUGAGUUUGGUAUAUCUUUUAUAGUUGAUUUUUGGAUAUGUUUAAG